AGAGUUUGAUCAUGGCUCAGAGCGAACGCUGGCGGCAUGCUUAACACAUGCAAGUCGCACGGUUGGGGGCAACCCCUUCAGUGGCGGACGGGUGAGUAACGCGUAGGAAUUUGUCCUUGGGUGGGGGAUAACCGCGGGAAACUGCGGCUAAUACCGCAUGACGACUGAGGUCCAAAGCUUGCAAGAGCGCCUGAGGAGGA
rnacentral:rRNA from 1 species